rnacentral:rRNA from 1 species
UAGGGGCAACCCUUAGUAGAGCGGCGCACGGGUGCGUAACACGUGGAUAAUCUGCCUGGAUGCCUGGGAUAACCAGUCGAAAGAUUGGCUAAUACCGGAUAAGCCCACGGUCUCUUCGGAGACUGAGGGAAAAGGUGGCCUCUGUAUACAAGCUAUCACAACCAGAUGAGUCCGCGGCCCAUCAGCUAGUUGGCGGGGUAAUGGCCCACCAAGGCAACGACGGGUAGCUGGUCUGAGAGGACGAUCAGCCACACUGGAACUGAGACACGGUCCAGACUCCUACGGGAGGCAGCAGUGGGGAAUUUUGCGCAAUGGGCGAAAGCCUGACGCAGCAACGCCGCGUGUGUGAUGAAGGUCUUUGGAUUGUAAAGCACUUUCGACCGGGACGAAACCGUAAAGCCUAAUACGCUUUGCCUUGACGGUACCGGGAGAAGAAGCACCGGCUAACUCUGUGCCAGCAGCCGCGGUAAUACAGAGGGUGCAAGCGUUGUUCGGAAUUAUUGGGCGUAAAGCGCGUGUAGGCGGCUUUGCAAGUCGGGUGUGAAAGCCCUCAGCUCAACUGAGGAAGUGCGCCCGAAACUGCAGAGCUUGAGUGCCGGAGAGGGUGGCGGAAUUCCCCAAGUAGAGGUGAAAUUCGUAGAUAUGGGGAGGAACACCGGUGGCGAAGGCGGCCACCUGGACGGUAACUGACGCUGAGACGCGAAAGCGUGGGUAGCAAACAGGAUUAGAUACCCUGGUAGUCCACGCCGUAAACGAUGAGAACUAGGUGUCGUGGGAGUUGACCCCCGCGGUGCCGUAGC